rnacentral:rRNA from 1 species
UUCUACCUACGGGAGGCAGCAGUGGGGAAUAUUGGACAAUGGGGGGAACCCUGAUCCAGCGACGCCGCGUGAGUGAAGAAGUAUUUCGGUAUGGAAAGCUCUAUCAGCAGGGAAGAAAGAAAUGACGGUACCUGACUAAGAAGCCCCGGCUAACUACGUGCCAGCAGCCGCGGUAAUACGUAGGGGGCAAGCGUUAUCCGGAUUUACUGGGGGUAACGGGAGCGUAGACGGCGA